rnacentral:lncRNA from 1 species
UGCACCAGUAUGACUGGUGUCCUGACAAAAAGGGGAAAUCUGGCCACCGAGACACGCAGGGAGAGAGCCGCAUGAUGGUGCAGGCAAAGGUCAGUGAUAUUGUUGUGACACGGGGAACUUCAAGGACCUGCAGCAAACACGGAAGCCUGGGGAGGCUGGACAGAUACUUUCCCAGCCUGGGAAGGACCAGCUGCUACCCCCUGAAGCACAGGUUUCAGCCCCCAGAUUGUGAGAGAGAAAUGCCUAUGGUAUGAGCUAGGCAUGGGGACACACACCUGUAACUCCUACAUUCUGGAAGGCUGAGGCAGAAGGAUUGCAAGCAAGACCGUAUCUCAAAAAAUAAAGAUAAAAAUACAGUGUUAGGAAUGUAGUUUAGUGUGAAGAUAUUGGGUUCAAUGCCCAGUGCUGAAAAAAAAAAAAAGUCUGUGGUUUAGGCCCCAAUCUGCAAAUCUGCAAUUUAUUUUUAUGGUGGUUACAGGAUGUUACACUAUAUAACACCAGGUCUGUCCGACAAACAAGACCCUGUGCAUGCCAGGGCCACAGGAUGGGGACACCCCUUCCUGCCCUCUAGGACUAGCAGGAGUCCUGCCACAGACCCAGCGGAGGAUGUGCUGGGGCCUGGAUACCCCUACAGGGUGCUGUGGGGGCCAAAAGCAGUCUCCCUUGCCCAGGCUCCUGCCCCUUUCCUUUUCAGCGGAUGACUUUCCCACCUCCCGCUUCUCAGAGGAUGCAGAAACCACGGCCCUGAGUGUCCUCGGUUCACGUCCAGUGUCUCUCCUGCCUACGUUUACCCCAGGUCUCCCUGCACCCUGGAGGAGCUGAACUGAAUCUGUGUGGUUCUGCAUGCGGAUGGCCCACCUGAGGAUUGUUGCCAAGAGAAUAAAAGAAAAACUGGAUGGGAAGAUGGUUCAAUGCUGAAUCUCCUGGAGAAGCUUGUCAUGCUGGUUUUCCUGAUAUGAACUCAGCUGUUCUCAUCAGAGAAGCUUGGGCCCUCGCUAUUGCUGAGGAUGGCUGCAGUUCUCUUUGGGGCAGCUCUGGAUCUUACCUUCCUGGCUCCAGUGCAGAUCCUUCAGCCUGGUGGCACAGAUCCUUCACCCCGCUGGUGCAGACUUUCUAGCUUCCACCACUGACCUUUGGGCCUUCCCAGUGUGGAUCUUUGGUACAGACUUCCAUGAGAUAUUGUCAUGGGCUCUAGACCUCCAGCUGGACGUGUAGAGGACAUUGCCAUGGGCUCUAGGUCUUCAGCCGAACUCAUGCAGGACAUUGCCAUGGGAACAGGCCCUCAGCUGAAUUCUUUAGGUCUCUAGUGGGUGGACAGAUCUCUUGCAUUCUUCUUCACUGGACUUUUUGGAUGAAUAUUAUAAAAUACUCCUAUAAAUUAUGUGUCCUAUAUUAAAUCUGUAUUAAAUAUAUUAUAUUAUAUAUAAUGUAUUAUGUAUUAUAUAUAUUAUAAAAUACUCCUAUAAAUUAUGUGUCCUAUAUUAAAUCUGUAUUAAAUAUACAGAUCCUGUAUAUUAUCUGUCCUGUAUUAAAUAUUCC